CUGCUCGCUUUGGCAGCACAUAUACUAAAAUCGGAACGACACAGAAAAGAUUAGCAUGGCCCCGUGCAAGGAUGAAACACAAAUUUGUGAAGUGAUCCAUAUUUUU